UAGGGAAUCUUCCGCAAUGGACGCAAGUCUGACGGAGCAACGCCGCGUGAGUGAAGAAGGAUUUCGGUUCGUAAAACUCUGUUGUUAGAGAAGAACAGCGCAUAGAGUAACUGUUAUGCGUGUGACGGUAUCUAACCAGAAAGCCACGGCUAACUACGUGCCAGCAGCCGCGGUAAUACGUAGGUGGCAAGCGUUGUCCGGAUUUAUUGGGCGUAAAGCGAGCGCAGGCGGUCAAUUAAGUCUGAUGUGAAAGCCCCCGGCUCAACCGGGGAGGGUCAUUGGAAACUGGUUGACUUGAGUGCAGAAGAGGAGAGUGGAAUUCCAUGUGUAGCGGUGAAAUGCGUAGAUAUAUGGAGGAACUCCAGUGGCGAAGGCGACUCUCUGGUCUGUAACUGACGCUGAGGCUCGAAAGCGUGGGUAGCAAACAGG
rnacentral:rRNA from 1 species